rnacentral:lncRNA from 1 species
CAGGUACUGGGGAUACUGGGGAUACUGGGAUAUACUGGGAUGGAAACAGUGCGGGACGUCAGGUACUGGGGAUACUGGGGAUACUGGGGAUACUGGGAUGGACUGGGGAUACUGGGAUGGAAACAGUGCGGGACGUCAGGUACUGGGAGGGACUGGGAUAUACUGGGAGGGACUGGGAGGGACGUCAGGUACUGGGAUGGACUGGGAUGGACUGGGAUAUACUGGGAGGGACUGGGAUGGACUGGGGAUACUGGGAUGGAGACCGUGCGGGACGUCAGGUACUGGGGAGACUGGGAGGGACUGGGGAUACUGGGAUGGACUGGGGAUACUGGGAUGGACUGGGAUAUACUGGGAUAUACUGGGGAUACUGGGAUGGACUGGGAUGGAAACAGUGCGGGACGUCAGGUACUGGGAUGGACUGGGGAUACUGGGAUAUACUGGGAUGGAGACAGUGCGGGACGUCAGGUACUGGGAUGGACUGGGAUGGACUGGGAGGGACUGGGAGGGACGUCAGGUACUGGGAUGGACUGGGGAUACUGGGAUGGACUGGGGGAUACUGGGGAUACUGGGAUAUACUGGGGGAUACUGGGAUGGAGACAGUGCGGGACGUCAGGUACUGGGAUACUGGGGAUACUGGGAUAUACUGGGGAUACUGGGAUGGGAACUGUGAGGGACGUCAGGUACUGGGGAUACUGGGAUAUACUGGGAUGGAGACAGUGCAGGACGUCAGGUACUGGGACACUGGGAGGGACUGGGAUAGACUGGGGAUACUGGGAUGGACUGGGGGAUACUGGGGAUACUGGGAUGGACUGGGAUAUACUGGGAUGGACUGGGGGAUACUGGGAUAUACUGGGAUAUACUGGGAUGGACUGGGGAUACUGGGAUGGACUGGGAUGGAAACCGUGAGGGACGUCAGGUACUGGGAUGGACUGGGGAUACUGGGAUGGACUGGGGAUACUGGGGAUGCUGGGAUGGAAACAGUGCGGGACGUCAGGUACUGGGAUGGACUGGGAUAUACUGGGAUAUACUGGGAUAUACUGGGAUGGAAACAGUGCGGGACGUCAGGUACUGGGAUGGACUGGAGAUACUGGGAUGUACUGGGGAUACUGGGAGGGACUGGGAUGGAAACAGUGCGGGACGUCAGGUACUGGGGUGGACUGGGAUGGACUGGGGAUACUGGGGGGUACUGGGGGAUACUGGGAUGGAAACCGUGCGGGACGUCAGGUACUGGGGAUACUGGCAUGGACUGGGGGAUACUGGGAUAUACUGGGGAUACUGGGGAUACUGGGGGAUACUGGGAUAUACUGGGAUGGAAACCAUGAGGGACGUCAGGUACUGGGCAUACUGGGAUAUACUGGGGGAUACUGGGAUAUACUGGGAUAUACUGGGAGGGACUGGGGGGAACUGGGAAUGGGACUGGAAGGGACUGGGAUAUACUGGGAAUGGGACUGGGAUGGACUGGGAAUGGAUUGGGAGGGACUGGGAUGGACUGGGAAUGGAAUGGGAUAU